rnacentral:rRNA from 1 species
UACGUAGGGUGCGAGCGUUGUCCGGAAUUAUUGGGCGUAAAGCGCGCGUAGGCGGCCACUUAAGUCGGAUGUGAAAGCCCCUGGCUCAACUGGGGAAGUGCACCCGAAACUGAAUGGCUUGAAUGCAAAAGAGGGUCGCGGAAUUCCCGGUGUAGAGGUGAAAUUCGUAGAUAUCGGGAGGAACACCGGUGGCGAAGGCGGCAUCCUGGACCAUAACUGACGCUGAGGCGCGAAAGCUAGGGGAGCAAACGGG